rnacentral:rRNA from 1 species
CCUACGGGCGGCAGCAGUGGGGAAUAUUGGGCAAUGGGCGCAAGCCUGACCCAGCAACGCCGCGUGAAGGAAGAAGGCUUUCGGGUUGUAAACUUCUUUUGACAGGGAAGAGUAGAAGACGGUCCCUGUCGAAUAAGCCACGGCUAACUACGGGCCAGCAGCCGCGGUAAUACGGAGGUGGCAAGCGUUGUCCGGAUUUACUGGGUGUAAAGGGCGUGUAGGCGGGAGGGCAAGUCAGAUGUGAAAACUAUGGGCUCAACCCAUAGCCUGCCUUUGAAACUGUACGUCUUGAGUGCGGGAGAGGCAAUCGGAAUUCCGGGUGUAGCGGUGAAAUGCGUAGAUAUACGGAGGAACACCAGUGGCGAAGGCGGAUUGCUGGACAGUAACUGACGCUGAGGCGCGAAAGCGUGGGGAGCAAACAGGAUUAGAUACCCGGGUAGUC